CCUACGGGAGGCAGCAGUGGGGAAUAUUGCACAAUGGGGGAAACCCUGAUCCAGCGACGCCGCGUGAGUGAAGAAGUCAUUAGUUAUGUUAAGCUCUAUUAGUAGGGAAGUAAAUGACGGUACCUGAGUAAGAAGCUCCGGCUAACUACGAUCCAGCAGCCGCGGUAAGAAGUAGGGGGCAAGCGUUAUCCGGAUUUACUGGGUGUAAAGGGAGCGUAGACGGCUGUGCAAGUCUGGAGUGAAAGGCUGGGGCUCAACCCCCGGACUGCUGUUGAAACUGGACGGUUGGAGUGCAGGAGAGGUAAGUGGAAUUCCUAGUGUAGCGGUGAAAUGCGUAGAUAUCAGGAGGAACACCGGUGGCGAAGGCGGCUUACUGGACUGUAACUGACGUUGAGGCUCGAAAGCGUGGGGAGCAAACAGGAUUAGAUACCCGUGUAGUC
rnacentral:rRNA from 1 species